UGGUAGCGGAUAGAAAUGUGCUUUGUGCGGGAGUGAAAACGAGUGGUUGUGACUAAUGCUAACGCUGAUUGGUUGUCGCAGUAUACACGGGUCGGCGUUUUUAGGGUGUCGGUGCAGUGAAGGUGAUCAUCAAGAGGAUUCGUGACAGGUAGUGAAGGAGGACGUUGAUGCUGGUCCGACGGCACCUGCGGAGCAUCAGAAAGAGGGUGCUGGGGCUCACACGUGGAUACACGCGCAGGUGGAGUGGCAGGGGGCUGCGACCCGCUGGGAAGGAAGAAAUGUGGGUCUUCCUGGAGUCUGGCAUCGGGUGAGGGGCUGGCCUGAACAGGUUGGCGGGGAGGAGCAGGCUCGUCCUGAAAGAUGACGUCCCUGGAGACGACGGUGGCGUCGGUGCGGAGGAGUUGAACCUUGUAUCCCUUGCUGACCGGGCUAUAUCCAAGGAAUAUGCAAGCCUUCGUUUUUCCAUAAAGCUUGACACAGAGCGGAUCAGGGAUUUUGGCAUAACAUCGACUUCCAAAUACACGAAUGUGAGUGAGAUCGGGCUUCUUCUUGUGCCACAUCUCGAAUGGAGUGGUGUGAGAAGGAAUAGCCUUCGUGGGAAGUCGAUUUUGUAUAUACGCAGCACAAGUGACUGCUUCUCCCCAAUACGAUCUAGAGAGUUGAGCUUCAUGGAGCAUGCACCUUGUGGUGUCGAGGAGAGUUCGAUUCUUGUGUUCAGCCACACCAUUUUGGCGUGGUGUAUAUGCUGUGUCGCUUGUUUUGGAAUUUUUUUGGCUGUAUGUUUGCCAUGGAGGCAUAUCGGGCACACCAAGUUGGAGAUCGUUUUGAGGUGGAUUCCCGUGACAACUGAAUUGGUGAUUAAGUGCUUGAGGCGGUCACUAUUGGGAUGAUCAAGCCUUCGAUGCCAUAAGAAUUGUUGCGAGCUUGGAACUGAGGCGACAACUUGAGUGGCUUCGAGCAACGGGGAUGUAGUGGAUCGUAGUGUCGUAAUAUGGGCGGAAAAGAUAGCAACAGCAAGAGGUAGCUGAUUUGGCUAUGGAGGGAUCUCUGGGAGGCCAUGGUGUCCUUGCAAGUUUGCUAUGUCGAGGUGGAGAGGAAUCUGCUGUGCUCUGUGGUGACGAGUAAGAUUCCAAGGCUCUAGUAGUGGUAGUUGAGAGGCAUGGGAGUUGAGGGCGGAAGAUAACUCCAUGUCGACUGUCCACCACGCAGAGUCGCUCGUAAUGGGGGAAGACGGUGCUGGAGAGAGCUAAGGUGACCAGCAUAAGUGAUCAAGAUCGGAAAGGGUCGUUAAUAAAGGCUGCGAGAUAAAAACUCUAAAAUCGACACUUGGGGGUACGGAUACAGAUGGUGAUUCUCUCGACCAAGCAAUGAUAUGUGCCACCACAUUUUGAAUUGAGAAUUUUAUUGAUCCUAGUAGAUAAAGAUUAUCUCAAAGAGGACAAGAGGCGAGUAUUGUAUUAUCUUUUGCUAAUAGAUUACACAUCUGAUUUUUUUAUUAAGAUGCCACCACCUUCGAGAUCAUAGUUACAUAGGAAGAAUAGAUUUUUGUAUAAGUCUGGUACAUAUAAGGUAUUGGAGAGACCAAGUGUCUCGCCAUUUGCCAUUGAGAUUUCUACUUCUCUUUGGCCAUAGAUGGGUAAUGUUGUACCAUCGCCAAGGUAUACUUUGUUGUCAUCAUGUAGAAAUGGUUUGAAAUUGAUGAAUUGUGGUUUA